UACGUAGGGUGCGAGCGUUGUCCGGAAUUAUUGGGCGUAAAGAGCUCGUAGGCGGUUUGUCACGUCUGCUGUGAAAUCCCUCGGCUCAACCGGGGAACUGCGUCUGAUACUGGGUGGCUUGAAUUCGGGAGAGGGAUGCGGAAUUCCAGGUGUAGCGGUGAAAUGCGUAGAUAUCUGGAGGAACACCGGUGGCGAAGGCGGCAUCCUGGACCGAGAUUGACGCUGAGGCGCGAAAGCCAGGGGAGCAAACGGG
rnacentral:rRNA from 1 species